ensembl:lncRNA
CUUGAUGUGGCACCAGAGACUCAUGAUGGCUUUGAUGAAAAGAAAAUAGAAGAAAGGUAAAGAAAAUACAAGAUCUGUGAGAAAGCGUAAUAACUGUUCUGACAGAGCUGCUAUCACAAUAAUGAUCUAACUUGUUGUGACAUGUACCUGUAAUUUUCGCCUUAGCCUAACAGGUAGAAUUAAAAGCUUUUCAGAACCCAUGUACUGUGUUUGGAUUGAGAUUGAGAUUGCUCAUCUAGAGAAUGGGCCCUGAAAUAUGUCCUGCUGACUGCUACUGUAACUGUAAUGGUUUAUUUGACUGUCGCAGAUGUGAGGAUCUGUACAGGUUUCGUCUGAAGUUGUGCUGCCUGAGGAUGUGGACCAAUAGACUCAGGUUCCUCUCUCAAGCCUGCUGUCAUGACAGGAGACGGGCUCUAAGCAAAGCUCUGUAUGCUCUGAGAUGGGCCGUCAACAUGCAUUGUGCGCAAACUGAUGCAGUGGAGAGGAGGAGAAGCGCUUUUCUGCUCGGUCACACUUUUUACCAGUGGAAGAAUCACUAUGAGAGCAAACACCUGGAAAACUCAUUCCACAAUGAGCGCAACACAGCUGCUUUGAGAAAACGACUCAUUCCUCCCAGCAAUACUUUAGUCCUGAUGACCACAUGUUCCACCUGGAAGAACCUGCAUGUGCUCAGAACGGCUGUGAUUCAUCAUCAUCUAUCUGUACUGUAUAAGCACUGGCUGCUCUGGAGGCAGGUGUGUUCGAGGCGGUUCUUGAGAAGUCACCAGGAGUGGUGGUCAUGUGUUUUGUGGGACAGGAGACUCCAGAGCAAAGCCUGGACCCUGUGGACAUUAACCAGGCAGAGGACACAGCUGGCCGCACAUCAGUACAGGAUGCAUUUGUUAUCAUCACAAUGGAAGGACUGGAAGAUCAGGAACAGUCAGAAGAAGACGGAGAAGUUGAUUCAGUCCAUUCAGAGGAGCAACCUUCUUCACUCCUUCCAUCUCUGGAAGAAAAGAGCAGAAGCCUGUCAAAAAGACAGAGAAAAACAGUUGGUUUUGAGCCGACGCACCCUGCACUCCUGGCACUGCUACGUUCAGAAGAAAAAGCUAACACGGUUGAGCACCAGAGCACAAUGGAUGCUCUCCAGAUGGAUGUUAGCAGCAACCUUCAGGAAGUGGAGAGAUGUCUCAGACAGGAAGCAGGACACGAGGAGAUGUCUGGAGAGAGUGCGCCUCCUGCAGGAGAAGGGUAGGAUGCAGGCUGCGUUUGCAGUUUGGUGUCAAAGCGCUGGGGUGAGGAAGGAGUUAAGGAGAAUACGGGAGAAAUCACAGAGAGCUCAACUCUCAUGGUGUUUGUCAGCGUGGAGAGCACUGGUUCAGCGCAGUGCAUUACUUCUGCGUUACUGUGAUCAGAGAAAGGCGCUGGCACUCAAGACGUGCUUACAGCACUGGAGCAGAUCUCGACAGCUGCACGCUCUUCACAAGCAUUUCCUCAUCCAGCAGUUUCAUUCAGGACAGACACACACAGUGUUGAAAUGGAAAACAGGUAUUUCAGCAGAAGGACUAUCUGGCAGGCUCCUGCUCCACAACACUCUUCAGAAGUGGACAGAGAUAUUAGAGAAACGCCGGUUGGCAAAAUUUCACAGAUCGGCUCAUGAUCGGUCUGUUCUUCUGGAGUGGGACAGACACACUCAGGCUGCUGUCUCUGAUGGAGUUCUGCUCAUCACAGACAGACUGGCUCAUCUUCAUCCACCCUCCUCUGCCUCGUCCUGCUCAGAUCCCCUGAUGUCCACCGCUGCGCCACAGGUUGUGUUUUCAAGAGCCCUCGGCAGGACGAUGCACCCUGCUCUGAGUCUGUGGAGGAGUCUAGUGCACACUAUCAGAGAGAGGAGACUGCAGGCGGAUCUCUGUAGAAACAGCAGGAGACGUGAAGAGCUGACUGGGGUUUUCAGGGUGUGGAGAGUUCAAACACAGAAGCAGCGCCAGGCUGUUAGACACUGGGAGAGAAGGGUGCUCUUUCAGUCAGUCAUUCAGUGGAAACAAAUGUUUUGGCAGAGACACAAGAAACACAUGUUUGAGCAGCAAGCGGCAGUUACUCAUGACAGCAGUCUACUCAGACACUACUUCAGCGCGUGGACCAGGCUGGCCAUUGGGGCACAUUGUGAGCAGCAGAAGUGUGCUGUUGAAUGGAUGAAGUGCAGAAGAGAGAGACACAGACUGAAUGUGAGCUUUUCCAUGUGGGUUACAUGUGUACGCCAGCAGCAGACCGCCGGAGCCAUUUAUAAUCACACACGACAGAACAGCAUGUUUUGUGGUUGGCUGAGGAGUGUUCAGGUCUGUAAGCAGAGGCAGGCACUGGCUCUGUUCUUUACACACUGCAGACUCUUGCGUGUGUGUUUCUGUCAGUGGAGAAUCAUCUGCACUCAGCAGCGGCUCGCCAACAGCAAAACACAACACACACUCCACCUGAGAGCCAAAGCCGUCUUACAGCAGUGGAGGAAACAUACACACUUGAGGAUCAGUCAACGCGCUCUCCUGUGUGAGCAAGACGAGAGGAGGAAGACUGUCACGAAGAGAAGAACGUUUCUCAUGUGGAGUCAGGUAGUGGAGCAUUUCAGAAGAGCUCAGCACUAUCACAGAGGAGCCUUAAAGCACAGGUGUUUCUCUCAGUGGCUCCAUCAGUCAGAGCUGCUGUGUGUGAGCAGAGAGCUGGAGGAGCUCUGGACACAGAGACUGCAGCGGAGAGCUUUCAGCCUGUGGCAGCUCAGACUCAGCCGUGCUCGCUCUCACCUGCAUCACACACGCCGCUGGAGAGACACGCAGCAGCUCCGUCUUUAUCUGAGUGUGUGGAGAGAGAGACUCGAUGAGAGGAAGAGGGCCCGUCUGUGUCGGCUCAGACAGCAGACACACGUCAUGUGCAGGAUGAGAAACACGCUCCUGUGCUGGAGAACAGCGUUCAGCCAGAGGCUCCGGAGCAGAGAUCACUGCACACAGACACAGCAGAGGAGAGCUCUGCUGGCGUGGCACAGACAGACUGUAUCAGCGCAGAGACUGAGCUACAGAGAGGCCUGCUUACAGUACAGCUGCGAGCUGAGACUGCAGGCUGCUGUAUUGAGGCAGUGGAGAAGGGCACUGAUCCAGGGUCAGCAGAGGCAGUGUGUUCUGGAGAGCCUGCUCAUCAUCUAUCAAAGCAGAGUCAGUGAUCCAGCUUCUCAUCGCUGGAGAUCUGCGGCCACAGCAUUUAACAACAGAUUACUUCACAAGUGCUUCAGGUGUUGGACACAUAGCAGGGGUUUGUUGAAAGUAGCAGACAUGUUUUGUAUAAAGAAGAAAAGAAAUGAAGCCCGGUUUGUCCUGAGGAUGUGGUCACUGUGGGCUAAAGAAGGUAGAGCGCAGAGGCGGAUGGGGGAGGCUGUGAGUCUCUGGCUGGAGGGCAGAGGAGUAUCUAGAAGUUUCCAUCGUUGGGUCAGAGUGUAUCAGCAACACCAGAAAGCCUCCCACCACAUACAAACACAGCUUUCACACAGCAUCAGAGCAGUGGAGAGAAGAGGAGAGCGUGAACUGACCCGCCGGUACUGGACCUGCUGGACAAACCAAACUGAAGCAUCACUGCUGUGUACACAGCAAGUAAAUAAUCGACAUGAAUCAACAUUUAUUUGAUUGAGUUCAAUCAUUAAGAGACAAUAAAUACAGCAAAAGUUGAACUAGAUGCA